rnacentral:rRNA from 1 species
CACGUAGGCACCAAGCGUUGUCCGGAUUUAUUGGGCGUAAAGAGCUCGUAGGCGGUUCAGUAAGUCGGGUGUGAAAACUCUGGGCUCAACCCAGAGAUGCCACCCGAUACUGCUGUGACUUGAGUACGGUAGGGGAGCAGGGAAUUCCUGGUGUAGCGGUGAAAUGCGCAGAUAUCAGGAGGAACACCGGUGGCGAAGGCGCUGCUCUGGGCCACUACUGACGCUGAGAAGCGAAAGCAUGGGGAGCGAACAGG